GAGUUAAAGGGGCACUAGCUGUCAAAAUCAUGUUCACCGAUUUUAAUCAAAUUCAUAUAUUUGAAUCAUAACAUUGUAAAACAUUUAUUCAAACUAUUAAAAGUCUAAAAUACACAAUUAACAGGACACGGGAAUGAAAAUACGUAGCUUCGUUUCGUGUGUAUUUCAAUCUAGACGCCAUCUAAUUAAUUAUCGAGUUGACCUCGAAAAUCAUCCGAUGACCAUAUAAGCGAUGUAAACAUAAACAUAGAUAUAAACAGAUUAAGCAGACUCGUGCUGUUGGAUUAUUCUAGGUCUAUUUAAUUUCAUAUUAAAGAUGAAAAAUAAAUGUUUAUCGUCGUUUUUACCUGAUUAAGAAU
rnacentral:lncRNA from 1 species